CAGCCACAUCAUGUUCAAACACCAGUUCCUGUACAGUGACUGAAGUUAAGCAACGCUGAGCCUGUGCAGUACCUAGAUGGGUAACCACCUGGGAAUACCAGGGACUGUAAG